UACGAAGGGGGCUAGCGUUGUUCGGAAUUACUGGGCGUAAAGGGCGCGUAGGCGGUCCUGAUCGUCGGAUGUGAAAGGCCUGGGCUCAACCUGGGAACUGCAUCCGAUACGGCGGGACUGGAGUGUGGGAGAGGUUGGUGGAAUUCCCAGUGUAGAGGUGAAAUUCGUAGAUAUGGGAAGAACACCGGUGGCGAAGGCGGCCAACUGGACCACAACUGACGCUGAGGCGCGAAAGCGUGGGGAGCAAACAGG
rnacentral:rRNA from 1 species